AAAAAGGUUAUCUCCGCGAGCUAAGGUCGGAGUCAGGAAAAAUCAAAUUAAGGAGUUUUAAGCGAACGAGGAAAAGGGGUACAAGUCAGUAGGAGAGGCAUCAGAGGAUUCAAUUGGAAAUUAUGGACGCCAAAAGGGUGCAAUACUGGUCAGGAUGCAUAACAUAAAGCUCGAUAUGGAGAAGGAGAGAUUGCUAGGAAAUGACCAACUAUUAAAGAGGGAAAAAACGACAUUUCACAUGAAGAAGCGGCCCUAAAAAUUAGGGCAAACCACCCUAUAAAUAGGAGAUCACAUGAAGAAAGAAGGGACUCUCUAGGAAAUCCCAAGUUCCAACCACGGAGGCUAGCUCCGACACUUCUCGUUCCCCGCCGUUAGUCAAUAAUCACUUGAAGACUCUGGUACUUUGCCGGAGGGAGUUCACGGUCGUUCUAGUCAGACAUUGUAGUCGGAGGAAGUUAGUUGUUUCAUCGCCCGCGGGCCAAACAAUCUUUAUUGCUUUCCGUAGUUUAAAUUGUAGUAUUGCUUAUGUUAUUUGAAGCUCUUUUGUUGAUCGUCAUUUGAUACUUGGAUUUGGUACGCCGUGUUUUGGAUCUGAUCGCAAUGAAGUUAAACUUGUUUUUUGUUCAUC